UCCAGCCACCACCUUGAGGGCUAUAUGUCCCUAGCGAUAUGCCCCCAUUGUCCAUGAUGAGACAACCCCUUUAAGGGAACAUCACUCUGGAUGUCACUUGGUUGAGGAGGCACUUAAGGGAGCGUCAUUGUGUGGGUACAUCAUACUGUGUGUGGGGCACUUAAUGUAUCAUCUUACUGUGAGUUGGACACUUAGGAGCAUCAUACUACCUGAGGCGUACUACUGUGUUGAGAGACACUAAAGGGGCAUCAUACUCAGUGGGAGGAGCUCAAGAGGCAUCA